UACGUAGGGAGCAAGCGUUGUCCGGAAUCAUUGGGCGUAAAGAGCGCGUAGGCGGUCCGGUAAGUCGGUUGUGAAAACUGGGGGCUCAACCCUCAGACGCCGACCGAUACUGUCGGGCUAGAGUCCGGAAGAGGCGAGUGGAAUUCCUGGUGUAGCGGUGAAAUGCGUAGAGAUCGGGAGGAACACCAGAGGCGAAGGCGGCGACCUGGACAAGUACUGACACUCAACUACGAAAGCGUGGGGAGCAAACAGG
rnacentral:rRNA from 1 species